rnacentral:rRNA from 1 species
CAGAACGAACGCUGGCGGCGCGUUAACACAUGCAAGUCGCGCGUGAAAGGACUUCGGUCCGAGUAAAGCGGCGCACGGGUGAGUAACGCGUGGAUGAUCUACCCAUGAGUUAGGAAUAACGGCUGGAAACGGUCGCUAAUACCAAAUACGCUCCGAUUUCAACUUCGGGGGAAAGGUGGCCUCUGCUUGCAAGCUACUGCUCAUGGAUGAGUCCGCGUCCCAUUAGCUAGUUGGUGGGGUAACGGCCCACCAAGGCGACGAUGGGUAGCCGGUCUGAGAGGAUGACCGGCCACACUGGGACUGGAACACGGCCCAGACUCCUACGGGAGGCAGCAGUGGGGAAUAUUGCGCAAUGGGCGAAAGCCUGACGCAGCGACGCCGCGUGAGGGAUGAGGGUCCUCGGAUCGUAAACCUCUGUCAGGAGGGAAGAACCGCCACGGUGCUAAUCAGCCGUGGUCUGACGGUACCUCCAAAGGAAGCACCGGCUAACUCCGUGCCAGCCGCCGC